AUGGCUUUCCUCACUAUGUUUGCAAAUUGGGUCUUAUGGAAUGAGAGAAAUGCUUGUGUCUUUCAAAACAAGUCCACGCCGCUACUAUACAUUUUGGUGCUCAUCAAGAGUAAAGCCAAUCUUUGGGACAUGGUAUGUGCUAAACAUCUGAGAAACAUCAUGCUGUGA
rnacentral:rRNA from 1 species